AGAGUUUGAUCCUGGCUCAGAACGAACGCUAGCGGCGCGUUUCAGGCAUGCAAGUUGAACGGUACCAGGCCCUUUUGGGUGCUGACGAGUGACGCACGGGUGAGUAACGCGUAGGUAAUCUACCUAUUGGACUGGGAUAGCUCUACGAAAGUAGGAUUAAAACCAGAUACAUUUAUCUAAUCUUAAGAUUAAAUAAAGAAAUGUCUAAGCCGAUAGAUGAGCCUGCGUUAGAUUAGUUAGUAGGUGUGGUAAUGGCGCACCUAGGCAUCGAUCUAUAGCCGAGUUGAGAGGCUAAUCGGCCACAUUGGAACUGAGACACGGUCCAGACUCCUACGGGAGGCAGCAGCUAAGAAUCUUCCGCAAUGGUUGAGAGACUGACGGAGCGACGCCGCGUGAAUGAUGAAGGCCUUUUAGGUUGUAAAAUUCUUUUAUAAUAGAUGAAAGUAUAGAUAUAGUUUAUGCUGACCGUAUAUUAUGAAUAAGGUCCGGCUAACUACGUGCCAGCAGCCGCGGUAAAACGUAGGGACCUAGCGUUGUUCGGAAUUACUGGGCGUAAAGGGUAUGCAGGCUGUUAUAUAAGUCAGAUGUGAAAGACCCGGGCUCAACCUUGGAAUUGCGUCUGAUACUGUAUAACUUGGGUAGCUGAGAGGAAGUCGGAAUUCCUGGUGUAGGGGUGAAAUCUAUAGAUAUCAGGAAGAGCACCAGUAGCGUAGGCGGACUUCUGGCAGCUUACCGACGCUGAGGUACGAAAGGUAGGGUAGCAAACAGGAUUAGAGACCCUGGUAGUCCUACCUGUAAACGUUGUAUACUAGGUGGUGGAAGUUUAAUAUCUUUCUCUGCCGGAGUUAACGCAUUAAGUAUACCGCCUGGGGAGUAUGCCGGCAACGGUGAAACUCAAAGGAAUUGACGGGGCCCCGCACAAGCAGUGGAGCAUGUUGAUUAAUUCGAUGAUACGCGAGGAACCUUACCAGGUCUUGACAUAUAUCUGACGCACAUAGAGAUAUGUGUUCUCUUUUGAGCAGAUAUACAGGUGCUGCAUGGUUGUCGUCAGCUCGUGCCGUGAGGUGUUGGGUUAAGUCCCGCAACGAGCGCAACCCCUAUUCUUUGUUGCUAACGGGUAAUGCUGAGCACUCGAAGGAAACUGCCGGUGACAAACCGGAGGAAGGUGGGGAUGAGGUCAAAUCAUCACGGCCCUUAUGACCUGGGCUUCAAACGUGCUACAAUGGGUGGUACAAAGAGUAGCCAACCUGUGAAGGGGAGCCAAUCUCAAAAAGCCACCCCAAGUUCGGAUUGGAGUCUGCAACUCGACUCCAUGAAGUUGGAAUUGCUAGUAAUCGCACAUCACCAUGGUGCGGUGAAUAUGUUCCCGGGGCUUGUACACACCGCCCGUCACAUCACCCGAGUUGAAUAUACCCGAAGUAUCCGGGCUAACCCAUUUAGGGGGGCAGGGUCCGAAGGUAUGUUUGGCAAGGGGGAUGAAGUCGUAACAAGG
rnacentral:rRNA from 1 species